rnacentral:lncRNA from 1 species
UUUAAAAGAGUUUCAAUGAUUUGUAUAGAUUUUGUUUCAGUGAUUACAUAAUAGACUUUUUUCUUACCUUCCUUCGAUGGGCUUGGAGAAAGACCAUCUAACAAAUCGAACAUACCACCAGCAGAGGCAGUCGUUGCUAUGUGAGGUGGAGCUGGUGAAGAAAGUGUGUCUAGCGCAUUAGAAGGAUUGUUGUUAAUGCCAGCUGUUGAUAACAAAUCAAUUGAUGAUGUGUUGUUUUGUGCCGGAGAAGGUGUCCCAAUUGAUAAAAUAUCCAUCAACAGAUCUGCACCGGCUUUUGGACCCGGGGUUGCACCUGAAACAUUGCAAUGCCAUAGAGGAAAAGAUUGCUCAUUCGAGACAAUAUCAUAGCUGAGUACACCAUAAAAUGAAAAAAAAACAGUUGUAGAGACGCCAAAGAACUAACCAGAUUGUGCUGACGAUGAUCCUAAGUCAACACCCAGAAGAUCCUGAAGGAAAUCUGCACCAGAUGAACUAGGUGCAGCCAUGAUAUCGUCAGAACCCAGGUCCAGUAAAUCCACUAGUGGAGCUGCAGCAACACCAUUUGGAAUACUAACUGAAGGUUUGGCCAUUGUUGAAACUGACGCAGGCAAAGAGCCAGCCCUCCUCACAUUGAAGGUAGCCUCAUCUAGCACCGGCAUUCUCUCAACCAGAGAAGACCUAUAUGCAUAGAGACCUCGUUUUCAUGAGAUUUGAGGGGGUAAGUGAUUAAUCAUUUAACUAAGCCUUAACCAACACAACUACUAUAUUUUUCCCUUGCAUGUUUUAAGCUAAUGAUGGAAGGCGCUCUCUCUAGUUGUGCCAAAUCUCUUUAUCAAUCAUUCCUCCUACGUUUUGACUGUGAAUUCGAUUUUAAAAUUUUAUUGAGCUCCAUGGAAAAAUAUAAUCAUAAAUUGAGGGGGUUUAUGGUUAAAUCUGAGAGAGAGUAGCUUAAUGGUGUCUCUGUUCUUCAUCACAUACCAGAAAAAAAAAAGAAAUGUCUCAAAUGAUUCAUCAAAUCCACCUCAAAAACGAAGAUUCGAUCCAAAUCUCACCUGCUCCUGCUGCUCCUCCCCUCACCGCGAAUCACUCAUCUAAUCGAAUAAGCCCAAUCCUUCUCUUCAUCAUCGUUCUCCUCUCCGUCGUCUUCUUCAUCUGCAGCAUCCUACAUUUAACGGUCAAAUGUUACUUAAAGAAGAAAAGAUCGAGACUUUCUUCCUCCGCGGCGGAUUCCGAUCGAAACCCAGAACUCUCCGACUCCUCCGACACUUACCAGAGACAGCUCCAGCAGCUGUUCCAUCUCCACGACUCUGGUCUCGAUCAAGCCCUGAUCGAUGCCCUUCCCGUUUUCCUCUACAAAGAGAUCAAAGGCUCCAAAGAGCCGUUCGAUUGCGCGGUGUGUCUCUGCGAAUUCUCCGAAGACGAUAAGCUCAGGCUGCUUCCGAUUUGCAGCCACGCUUUCCACAUCGAUUGUAUCGACACGUGGCUGCUCUCGAACUCGACGUGUCCGCUCUGCAGAGGAACCCUUUAUCCGUUAGGGCACCAAUUCGAAAACCCGGAUUUCAAUUUCGGGUUUUUCGCCGGAGAAGAUGGAGAGAGGGCUUCUCCGGGGGAGAAACCGGCGGAGAGUGAUAUCAUGAGUGGGAAGAGAGUGUUCUCAGUGAGGCUUGGGAAGUUCAGGAGCAGUAAUAUUAAUGAAGGUGAAGGAGGAGGAGGAGGAGGAGGAGAGACAAGUGGGUGUGUGAGUGUGAACAGUAGUCUUGACAACAGGAGAUGUUUCUCAAUGGGGUCUUAUCAGUACAUAGUGGCUGAAUCAGAUCUGGUGGUUGCUUUGUGUCCUAAUAAUGAAGGUUCGAAGAAUGUGAAAGGAGAGAGUGAGAGUAAUGUUGAAGGGAAGAAGCUUAACAUGAGAAGCAAAGGUGAGAGCUUUUCUGUGUCAAAGAUUUGGCAAUGGUCUAAUAAAAGAUCAAAGUUUGCAAACCAAGCAGAAACCAAUCUAGUGGGUUCUUCUUCUGCAUCUUCCUCCUCUUAUGCUUGUUCCGGUAGUACAGUUGGUGCUGGAUUAUCAUUGAAUGGAAGGAGAUUUCAGGGGCCAUGAUAAGAGAUAAUGGGGUUAGGUACAGAUCAAGGUGUAGCUAAUUUUCUGCUGUUGAUUUAAUUAAAUCAUUGAUUUUGAGUUUUUUUUUUCUUUCUGAAAUUCAUUUUGUUAACACUAUAUACUGUAGUGGUGGUCUUUUUGUGUCUUUGUAGCUGAAUCUCUUUGUGUUUGUUAAGAGGAGAAUAAGCUUUGUUCUUUGAUUAAGUUUUAUGUGAUGCUUAUUUUAAUCCCCAACAAGUUCUAAUUAAAUUCUGUUCCGAGAUGGAACCUCAAAGAUUUGCACAAACUUUGAUGAUUUUGUUAGCUGUAUUUUGUCUUUAACGUCCAAACUUUUCAAACAAAAAGAAUAUCAUUUUUAUGGCAAAUCACAUAAAAAUGAAAUUGAAAUAAAAGAAGAGAAGUCAAAUUUUAUAUCUUCGGUGGGGUUUGAUACUUGUAAAGAGCAUCCAAAAAUGGGAUGGAAUCAUUAUUGGUAGGUAUAAAUAAUGAUGACCCUUAUUUGUUAUUAUGCUCCAAAAGAGCAUUCAAGAAAGAACACUCAUGAAGGUAUCAAUGAUCUCUCAAGUCACAGUUUGUCUUCAAAAUCAUAUCCGAGCACGUGACAUAAUUACAUUGGCCAGUAAAUUAGCAAAUAAAAUACAAAAUCUUUUUGUGCAAAGACGAAGCUGUAACUAGAAAUACAUCAUGUGGGCAAUCAAAUCUCUUUAAAAGUUUUAUACACGAGACAAACUUGUGUGCUUCCUCCAUCACUUUCUGACUCAAAAACAUAUGAAAUUUUGUUCAAAAAGAAACAUGAAGAAUCUCAAAUCCCAAACAAAGCCAAAGUUUCAGGAAACGGAUGAAAAAAGUAGGAAGAUAAAAGCUGAUUUUGUUGCGUCAGCUGCUCGGGUAAGACAUAUCUUUCUUUCUUUUUUUUUUUUUGGAAUAGGGAUGAUAAUAAAUACUCAAAGUUCCUUAUGCUGAAAAUACAAUCAGCCUCACAACCCACGAGGGAAGUUGUUGAUCUGUCCUUCCUCCAAUACAUCUUUUCCGUUCAAUUUGUACCCAAUCCUCAUGCGCAUCACAAGAGAUUUCUGCCAUAUAAACAUUAAAGUAAUUUAGUGUUAAGUCACUUAAUCCAGAGGUCAACCAAUCUUUAUAUGAGCAUAUACUGAGUUCUUGAUCAUAGACAAAAAAAAGGAAGCUGAACAGAGAAAGUGUUUAUACCUUGCCGUGCUGGCUGUUAGUGACUCUCAGAUUCUGCGUGAUGUUACCGCUUGCCGGGAGUGUGUUACUGCUUGCUGGAUCCAAGUGCAGCUGGAGGAACUGGAGAUUAAAAGAACGAAAGACAAUGUUAAAGAAAAUUUUGAAAACUGGAUGAUAAGGGAGAGAAAAAAGAAAACUGAAAUGACCUUUGGAACAGCAGCCUGGAAGAUAAAAUCUGUGAAAGUAUUAGGAGAUAGAUUUAUAAAAGUGGCCUGGACAUUUGUUUCUUGUGGGUUCCCUGAUGGCUUUGAGAAUGUGAACUCAAUCUUCAAGGUGCUGCUCUCGUAUGCAACAAUAGGUGGAUAUGCUGGACCAUUGGUUGCUGCAAUCAAGGAGGAAAGCAAAGUUAUUCAUCUUUUAAAAGAGUUUCAAUGAUUUGUAUAGAUUUUGUUUCAGUGAUUACAUAAUAGACUUUUUUCUUACCUUCCUUCGAUGGGCUUGGAGAAAGACCAUCUAACAAAUCGAACAUACCACCAGCAGAGGCAGUCGUUGCUAUGUGAGGUGGAGCUGGUGAAGAAAGUGUGUCUAGCGCAUUAGAAGGAUUGUUGUUAAUGCCAGCUGUUGAUAACAAAUCAAUUGAUGAUGUGUUGUUUUGUGCCGGAGAAGGUGUCCCAAUUGAUAAAAUAUCCAUCAACAGAUCUGCACCGGCUUUUGGACCCGGGGUUGCACCUGAAACAUUGCAAUGCCAUAGAGGAAAAGAUUGCUCAUUCGAGACAAUAUCAUAGCUGAGUACACCAUAAAAUGAAAAAAAAACAGUUGUAGAGACGCCAAAGAACUAACCAG